CCUACGGGGGGCAGCAGUGGGGAAUAUUGGACAAUGGGGGGAACCCUGAUCCAGCCAUGCCGCGUGUGUGAAGAAGGCCCUCGGGUUGUAAAGCACUUUCAGUGAGGAAGAACGCCUGGUGGUUAAUACCCAUCAGGAAAGACAUCACUCACAGAAGAAGCACCGGCUAACUCCGUGCCAGCAGCCGCGGUAAUACGGAGGGUGCGAGCGUUAAUCGGAAUUACUGGGCGUAAAGCGCGCGUAGGUGGCUUGAUAAGCCGGUUGUGAAAGCCCCGGGCUCAACCUGGGAACGGCAUCCGGAACUGUCAAGCUAGAGUGCAGGAGAGGAAGGUAGAAUUCCCGGGGAAGCGGUGAAAUGCGUAGAGAUCGGGAGGAAUACCAGUGGCGAAGGCGGCCUUCUGGACUGACACUGACACUGAGGUGCGAAAGCGUGGGUAGCAAACAGGAUUAGAUACCCCUGUAGUC
rnacentral:rRNA from 1 species